rnacentral:lncRNA from 1 species
CCGCCGCCGUGGCGCAGUCGCCACCAGCUGCACCCACGACCCCUGCUGCUCCCACGACCCCGGCUGCACCCACGACCCCUGCCGCACCUACGACUCCGGCUGCACCCACGACCCCUGCCGCACCCACGACCCCUGCCGCACCUACGACUCCGGCUGCACCCACGACCCCUGCCGCACCCACGACUCCGGCUGCACCGACGACCCCUGCCGCACCCACGACACCGGCUGCACCGACGACCCCGGCUGCACCCACGACCCCUGCCGCACCCACGACUCCGGCUGCACCGACGACCCCUGCCGCACCCACGACGCCAGCGACGCCGGCGCCCA